UACGGAGGGUGCAAGCAUUAAUCGGAAUUAUUGGGCGUAAAGGGCGCGUAGGCGGAUGUGUAAGUCGUGUGUGAAAUUCCGAGGCUCAACCUCGGAGCUGCAUGUGAAACUGUACAUCUAGAGGAUUGGCGGAGAAAAUGGAAUUCCACGUGUAGCGGUGAAAUGCGUAGAUAUGUGGAAGAACACCUGUGGCGAAAGCGAUUUUCUAGCUAAUAACUGACGCUGAGGCGCGAGAGCAAGGGGAGCAAACAGG
rnacentral:rRNA from 1 species